UGUAAGGACAAAUAAUAUAACAGAAACUUUCCAUAACAUAGCAGGAAGAAAAUUCAGUAAAUUUCAUGAAAACGUCUGGAGUUUCUUAGAUAAUCUGCAAAUAUUAAUAACUGACAAAGAAAUAAAACUGAAACGUUUAAAAACAACCGAAACUACUGGGCAUUAUACAACUAUUAAAAACAGAAACCGAGAUAAUAAAAUAUU